UGUUUCCACAACAUGUGCCCAACUCCCCUCACUGCAGCCUUACUAUUUCCUCAGGGACCUCCAGCGCACUUUGUGGUACUCCUAAAGGACCUGAAAGGCACCCUGGGUACAAACCAGGGACCCUGGGGUACCCACUGCCCAGCGAUGGGGCUGAUGUGAAGGCACUUGCGCCCCUGGGGAGCUCAGGAACGCUUCUCUCCUGCACGUUUUUUGUUUUUUGUUUUUUUUUUCCUGCCACAGGGGCCCGUAUGCCCUCCUAAACUCACCUUCCCUUCAGGGUCUUUCUGUCCGUUUUGGAGUACCCCUAGUGGGCCUGUGAAGCACCCUGAUUUUGAAUCAUGGACGCCAGGGUCCCCAUGGAGUGGCCCACGGACUGAUGAGAAGGCAUUUCGCCUGUGGUGGACUCAGGAACCCUUCUCAAUUUUGCGAUUUUCAUUCUUGUGUUUUUGCCACUGGUGCCCCACCUCCCCUCCCUGACAGUUUACCUUUCCCUCAGGGACCUUUUGCCCACAGUGGUGUACUCCUUGCGAACCCAAGACACACCCUAUAAUCGAACCAGGGAUGCCAGAAUUCCCCAGGACACGGUGCAGGGGCUGAUUGUAAGACACUUUCAUAUGUGGGGAACACAGGCUGUGCUUCACAGUGGCGUUUUUUUCUCUCUCCCUCAGUUGCCUCAUCUCCCUGCAUCUUACCUUCCAUUCAGGGACCUUCUGUCGGGGUUGUGGUACACUGAGUGGGCAAGAGAAACCACCAGGAUCCGAACCAGGGACAUAAGGGUCACCGGGUAGCAGCGCAGGGGCUGAUGGGAAGACACAUUCGUCAGGGGAUGACCCAGGAACUCUUCUCGGUGCCUCACCAUCCCUCCCUCAAACCUUAUCUUCCAAUCAGGAGCUUUCUCUCCAAUUUGUGGUAGCUGCACCUGGUCCCAGACUCACACUGGGUUCGAACCAGGGAUGCCAGCAUCUCCAGGGAUCUUCUCUCCGAUUUGUGGCACCCCUAUCUGGACAGAGACACACCCUGACUUCAAACCAGGUGCCAUCUGCCUCCUUUCGGAUACCACAAGUCAUCCCGAGACACACCCUGGGUUCAAACUGG